rnacentral:RNase_P_RNA from 1 species
CAAGUAGGACAGGUGGUCGGGCCUGAUCAUGCAAUUCAGGUCAGGAAAGUCCGGGCUCCACAGGGCAGGAUGGUCGCUAACGGCGACGGGGAGUGAUCCUACGGAGAGUGCCACAGAAAACACACAGCCGAUGGAGCUUGUAACUCACAGGCAAAGGUGAAAAGGUGCGGUAAGAGCGCACCAGCAGGAGGAGUGAUCUUCCUGGCUUGGUAAACCCCAUCCGGAGCAAGGUCAAGUAAAGGGAAGAUUGGGCGGCCCGCUCAUUCCCUGGGUAGACCGCUUGAGGCCUAUGGCAACAUAGGUCCUAGAUAGAUGACCACCAAUUCAGGAUUUAUUCUCUGGAUACAGAACCCGGCUUAUGGCCUACUUGUCCU